rnacentral:tRNA from 1 species
GGGCACGUGGCGGAACCGGUAUACGCGCUACCUUGAGGUGGUAGUGGGAGCAAUCCCGUGGAGGUUCAAAUCCUCUCGUGCCCACAA